rnacentral:rRNA from 1 species
UACGGAGGGUGCAAGCGUUAUCCGGAUUCACUGGGUUUAAAGGGUGCGUAGGCGGAUUUGUAAGUCCGUGGUGAAAUCUCCGAGCUUAACUCGGAAACUGCCAUGGAUACUAUAAGUCUUGAAUGUUGUGGAGGUUUGCGGAAUAUGUCAUGUAGCGGUGAAAUGCUUAGAUAUGACAUAGAACACCGAUUGCGAAGGCAGCAGGCUACACAAAUAUUGACGCUGAGGCACGAAAGCGUGGGGAUCAAACAGGA